rnacentral:rRNA from 1 species
GAUGAACGCUGGCGGCGUGCCUAAUACAUGCAAGUCGAGCGAACAGACGAGGAGCUUGCUUCUCUGACGUUAGCGGCGGACGGGUGAGUAACACGUGGAUAACCUACCUAUAAGACUGGGAUAACUUCGGGAAACCGGAGCUAAUACCGGAUAAUAUUUUGAACCGCAUGGUUCAAUAGUGAAAGACGGUUUUGCUGUCACUUAUAGAUGGAUCCGCGCCGCAUUAGCUAGUUGGUAAGGUAACGGCUUACCAAGGCAACGAUGCGUAGCCGACCUGAGAGGGUGAUCGGCCACACUGGAACUGAGACACGGUCCAGACUCCUACGGGAGGCAGCAGUAGGGAAUCUUCCGCAAUGGGCGAAAGCCUGACGGAGCAACGCCGCGUGAGUGAUGAAGGUCUUCGGAUCGUAAAACUCUGUUAUUAGGGAAGAACAGAUGUGUAAGUAACUAUGCACGUCUUGACGGUACCUAAUCAGAAAGCCACGGCUAACUACGUG